UUCAGGUUUUCAUUUCUGUGGGCACUUCCUCUCAUUUCUCCAGAACAUGACGCCAUGAGAAGGACAAGUUUGAAUGCCAAAGUAUCAUCCACAGCAUGACUUCCAUAGCCCUUGUCGCUCUGGUUUUGGCUCACCAGUUGGGUUCUCCACAUCGCAAGUCAUUGGCAUCUUUGCAGUUAUCUUGAAGUUGAACAGGCUACUAGAGAUUUUCAAGCAGAGCCUGAUUGACCACUCAUCAAUGGAAAAAUCAAACCAAUAGGAACAAAAAACAAACUACAAGGAACAAACAAACAAAAAGGUAAAAAAAAAAAACUAUGCUUCAAUUCACACUCAGUUCCCAUAGUCCUCUCUCUGGAUGUAGAUAGUACUUUCCAUCCCAAAUCUAUUGGAACUGGCCCGAGUCACCUCAUUGCUGAAAAGAGCCACGUCCAUUAUGGUUGAUAAAGUUGCUGUUACACGGUGUACAAUGUCCUCUUGGUUCUGCUCACUUCACUCAGCUUCAGUUCGUGUAAGUCUUUCCAUGCUUUUAGAAAAAAUAUUUUCAAAAAUACUUGUGAACGUCUCCAGCUGGUAAUGGUACUUUUUGAUGUAA